rnacentral:rRNA from 1 species
ACGGAAGGCAGCAGUGGGGAAUAUUGCACAAUGGGCGAAAGCCUGAUGCAGCGACGCCGCGUGAGUGAAGAAGUAUCUCGGUAUGUAAAGCUCUAUCAGCAGGGAAGAAAAUGACGGUACCUGACUAAGAAGCCCCGGCUAACUACGUGCCAGCAGCCGCGGUAAUACGUAGGGGGCAAGCGUUAUCCGGAUUUACUGGGUGUAAAGGGAGCGUAGACGGUUUGGCAAGUCUGAAGUGAAAUGCGGGGGCUCAACUCCUGAACUGCUUUGGAAACUGUCGAACUAGAGUGCAGGAGAGGUAAGUGGAAUUCCUAGUGUAGCAGUGAAAUGCGUAGAUAUUAGGAGGAACACCAGUGGCGAAGGCGGCUUACUGGACUGUAACUGACGUUGAGGCUCGAAAGCGUGGGGAGCAAACAGGAUUAGAUACCCUGGUA